AAAUACAAGAAAAACUUGGUAGUAGCAAUGAUUUUCCUGAUGGCCUUCACGAAGAUGAUUGCAUGAGCCUGAGGCUCUUGAAGCUGACAUGGGAAACGAGUCCAAAGUGGAUGGAGUGCCUUUUUCUCUCCAACGCGAUAAUCAAACUGAUUACGAUGAGGACCUUAUCUUCCCCCAGAACCAAUAGGGCAGACUGGAGCUCAACUUGCUCGAGUUCAUGUUAAAGCUGAGGAUGAGCUUGGAUUACCGGCAGUACCAAGCUACUCACUGGGGAAUAGAUCUUACGCUCUCUUUGUGGGGUAGAGCUGCUAAGAUCUUUUUUUUUUUUUU